rnacentral:misc_RNA from 1 species
AGCAUCUCCUUCACGCCUCUUCAAUUGUUGGCACAAGCAUGGUCUCGGCCAAAAUCGGGUUUCCUGUGCUAGAUACCUGUCCCGAAGGAAUUUUGAUGGCUAUAAUUGUUGGAUUUCCGUCGUGUGCCCCUUUUCCUUGCGGGGAAGUGGUGUGCUGCGGACCUCAAGGCGUUCGCCGUUUUUCGCACCGUGUGCACCUGUACAGGUGUUUCGGUUGAUGAACCACGGCGCAAUGCUUGAUAUCUCGGGUGCGGAACAUCUCGUGGGUACGAGGCCUUUGGCCUUCGAUAACCCCAACAACAAGCGUUCUACGCUUUGUGCGAACGACGGUUAGCUCGGUCUUCAAACGUGCUCUAGUAGACCGAUUGGAGUCGAGCUGACGUCGG